UUUUUUUCUUUCUUUCGUCUUUCUGUCUCUCUCACUCUCUCUCUGUCUUUUUUUUUUCUUUUUCCUUGAUGGAGUUUUGCUCUGUUGCCCAGGCUGGAGUGAAGUGGUAAGAUCUUGGCUUACUGCAACCUCUGCCCCCUGGGUUCAAGUGAUUCUCCUGCCUGAGCCUCCCGAGUAGCUGGGAUUAUAGGCGCCCACCGCCACACCUGGCUAAUUUUUGUAUGUUUAGUAGUGACGGGGUUUCGCCAUGUUGGCCAGGCAGGUCUUGAACUGCUGACCUCAGGUGAUCCGCCUGCCUUGGCCUCCCAAAAUGCUGGGAUUACAGGCGUGAGCCACCACGCUCUGCCUAACAGACUGACAUGUUUGGGACUAGGAAUAUGCUGCUAUAUGCUUAACAACCAGUUCUCUGGAGAAAAAACCCUGCUUUUGCAGCAGCUGCUGAUUUCUGUGGUAUAAAUAUUCCCACUACAGCCAAUACCCAGCUACCAACAUAUCGAUGAUUGUGAAGUUGGGGAGAGAUACAUAGCAACACACAUUGCCCAGCACUUCUACGAGACAGUGCAAUAGACAUAAAUAAGAGCACACUUAACAGUAAAAAGUGGUAAAUUAAUUAGGAAGUAUUGUGUUCGGUAAUCGUUGCCUUUUAAAUAGAGUUUAUUUAAUUAGAAGUUUAUGCAGUUGAAUUUUUAAUAAUGACCUUCUUUAACAAUUGGCUCACAAACUUCCUAGACAUUUAACAAUUGACUUUUGCAAGCUGGAGCAAGCCGGCUCCAGCACACCACUGCUUAUGGUCCCCAAAAGGAUUGGGUGGGUGGGAGUAGAUCAUGUGGUGCUCCACAAAAUUAUUUCACCCAAGACCCUUCCUUCAGGUAGUAUUUUAUAGGAUUUGUGUUCUGUAGAGAACACUUCAGAAAGUGCUGAUCUUGUCCAACUUUGUCAAUUUUUCCCCCCCUAAUUUUUCUUCAUUUUCAAAGCUCCCAUGGUUUCCUGACUACUCACUGGGAGCUUAACAUACCACACUUCCAUGGAAUUCAAUUCAAUAAAUAUUUAUUGGGCUCCUGUUAUGCACAAAACAUUAUGCGAGUACUCCAGAGAAUUCUAGAUGACUAAGACUUAGUUCCUGUCCUUGGGGGGCAAACUGUAGGACACAGACACAAAGAACCACAGUGGGAAGCAGCAUAGGCUGAGUGCCCCUAGAGCGGUACAAGCCAUAACUUUGAGAGGUUGAGGAAAACGAAAUCGCAUCCAGCUGGAGAUGUUACGAUGGGAGAUACUCAAGUCCAAAGGGGACCUGAGAUUUAGCAGUGCCUCUUGCCUGGGACUGGAAGAGGCACAGGUAGACGGAGGAGCCGACGUGCGGUCCGCUUGUUCAAAGUCUGUGUACUCACUCAUUUACCACUUCAUUCAGCAGGCAAGGAUUGGGAGGUUCUGGGGCGAGGGCAGUAAAACCUGCCUUUUUAAAACUUUACGUGGCUGAGCAUCUGUUCACAUACUAGUUAGCUAUUUGGGUUUUCUCUUCUGAUGAAUUGCUUGUUUGGAUCUUUUGUCCGUGUUUGACAGGCUUUCCUUUUUCCUCCCUUGUCAGUUUGCAGGGGUUUCUUGUAUAUUCUUUUGUGUAAGUUGUAGAUAUUUAAAAUAUUUUCCCCCAGUCUAUCACCCACGUGUUUAAUUUGUCUCUAUCGUCUUCCGGCAGCAAUGUAGUAUAGUGGUUAAACCUGAGGGCUCUCUCUUCAGCUCCUAAAUUACUGAUGUGACCUUGGACAAGCUAUUUAACCAACUUGUGCCCGACUCCUCACCUCUGCGAUACAGUAAUGACAGCUUCUACUUCUUAUGGGCGUUAGGAAGAUUAGGUUAAUCAAUACACAGUAAAUAUUAAGCUUUGUUUGUUGUCCCCAAAUCUUUAAUUUUGAUUUCGUUGAAUCUGUCAGUUUUUACUUUUCUGGUUUAGGUUUUUGGGGGAUUUUUCCAAAAAUCCCCCAACAUUUUCUUCUAUUAAUUUUAUAUUUUUAUUUUUGCGUUUAUUUAUUUAUUUUUUGUCUUGAGACAAGGUCUUGCUCUGUCACCCAGGCUAGAGUGCAGUGGUGUGAUCAUGGUUCACUGCAGCCUCAACCUCUGGGCUCAAGCAAUCCUCCUACCUCAGCCUCCUGAGUAGCUGGGAUUACAAGGCACAUGACACCAUGCCCAAAUAAUUUUUAAAUUUGUUGUAGAGAUAGGAUCUUACUAGGUUGCUCAGGUUGGUCUCAAACUCCUGGGCAUAAGUGAUCUUCCUGCCUCAGUCUCCCAAAAUGCUGGGAUUACAGGCAUGAGCCACUGUGCUCAGACCAUUUAUCCUUAAAUGGUGUGAGGUAGGCCUCUGAAUUUAUUAUUUUUCAUGUAAUAAGCCAAUGCCUUUUCUAAAUAAUUCCUCUUUUUGCAAGCAAUAUAUCUUAUGGUUUCUUUUACUUUUAAAUUCUAUUUUCUCCAAUGUUAGUAUUAGAUUAAAUAUAUUACAUGUUAAUAUUAAAACUGCUGUUUCAUCUUUCUUUGAUCCAUAUUUGACUAGUUUAUUCUUUUUCCAUCACUUCAAAUUUUCUAUAUUUUUAAAAAACAUGUAUCUUGGAAGUAAUAUUAAUAAGAAAUAUUAAUUAUGAAUAAGCUAUUACUAAUAUUAAUAAUCAAUAAUAAAUGCUAAAAGUCUCUGCCUUUUGAUCUGUUUUAACUCUGACAUUUUAAUAAUUACAUUAUGUAUAACAUGAUAUAUAAGGGUAUAUAAUAAUCAUAUUAGAAUGUAUAAUAAAUAUUUCUGCCAUCUGAUUUCAUGUUUUCCAUUUACCAUGGCUUCUUUUAGUUUAUUCUUUCUACUUUCCACUGGCGAUAUCAAAUUUUCUUUUGCUUGUUUGUAAGUUGUACCUUCUAGAUUAACUUCAUGAGAUUAGCUCAGUGUUAUCUAUUAAACAAGUAUUAUAAAAUUCCCCUCUGAAACUUUAUUAAAGUAAAAUAUUAAAUUGGCUUUAGUAAAAGUAAAACUUUGUUCAAUUUCUCUCACAAAUAUAUGCAAAUUAAAACCACAAUCAAAUAUAAUUUUUUAACCUCAAAAAUUGAUAACAUUGAAAAGUUUGACAAUACCCAGGGAUGGGGAAGGUGCCUGGAAAGAGCCGCUCUUGGUGGGGCAUGAAAAGGUGCAAACAUUUUGGAGGUAAUUUGACAAAUAUCUGUUAGAAUUUAAAAUGCACACACUCUUUGAUCCAUCAUUUCUACCUCCGGGAAUGCAUCCAAUGGAUAAGGACUUUUAUUGUAACAUUUUUUGUUGUAGUAAAAAUCCAUAAUCUUUUCAACCUUCUGUACUAUUUGAAUUUCUUACUAUGAACAUGUAUCACUUUUAUCAUUAAAAACAUACUAUAUAAAAAUUAUACAUAUAAUUUAUAUAGUGCCUUUGUAUAUAUAUUUAUAAUUUUUAUACAGUACAUAUAUAGGUGUUUAUAUAUCCUUGGAAAGGAGAGAAAUGUAAAGAUCUCACAAAGCCAAACAAAGAAUUUCUGAUGUCAAAAAUCUGGGAACCUCUAACCUAAUGUAUCACUUUAAUCAUUUUCUAAAUAAUAUUGUAUCUCAAUGAAAUAAAAAUGGGGUUUUCUCUACUCUUAUAUCAAAUUUCAUCUGAUUUUCAAAAAAUUCAAUGUAUAGUUUUUCUCAUUUAUUUCUACAGGUGGAUUAGCUAAGCUAGGAAGAAGUUAAAAUAGCUUGACUAACUUCCCACAGUGAGUUAAUGCAGCUGUAGGCAGAGCUCUGAGCUCUGACUGGGUACCAUCACCUCCGGGAGGUGCACUCGUCUAAGAGAAACAUCACUGAGGUAACAGUGACUUUC
rnacentral:lncRNA from 1 species